rfam:Vibrio hepatarius strain DSM 19134 contig0009, whole genome shotgun sequence.
AUUCCUACUGUUACUGUCCGAGCAAUAAUUCAUAUAAUGAAAGGCAGUAA